AAAAUAGAAAAUGAAGUCCGGCGAGGUCACUCUCUUUCUCCUUUCUAUCUCUACUUUCCUGACACAUUCUCUUCCCCUUUUACGACUUCAAACUUCGUCUCCUCUCUCUCCUCUUCUCUGCAACAGUCAUUUCUCUGACGAAACUGCCCCUGUAGUUGUUCACUGACUUCCGGACCCCGUCCUCUUCUCCUCCAGAUUCUUCUAGCAACAGUCGAAGAUUCUCUGUGCUGAUCAGACGAGUUUUCUCUCAUGGCGAAACUGGCGACGAGUUGAGGUGGUAUGGAUUUGACUGAAGGCGUCGGAGAGAGCUCGUCGCCGCCGAGAAGCUUUGGUAGCUUCAAUAACUACGAUGUGAGGAACGAUGUCUAUAAUCGAUUGGUGGAGAGUCGUCAUCUUCAGGCUCUGACUCAACCGGACUUCCGUGAGCAGUUGGACGCUCACUUCAAUCGCUUGCCUGCUAGUUAUGGGCUUGACGUUAACAUGGACAGAGUGGAAGAUGUUUUGAUACAUCAAAAGCUUCUCACAUUGGCAAAGGACCCGGAGAAACGGCCUGUUUAUCAUACCCGAUUCUUGGAGAGUAUCUCUACGGGGACAGAUGAUGAUGAGGAUGAACAAUUCACUAGUAAUGUUUCAACCUCAAGGCUAUCAUGUAACGAAAUCAAUGAAGUAGCUGCGCAGCCACAUGAUAGAACUAGGAAUUGUGCUGUUGACUUUGAACCUUGCUCUAGGCUCGGAGACCUAAAUUUGGAUGUUAGAAAGAAUGCUAAGGAUGUCGAUGAAAGAGAUGUGCUGGAGAGUUUUCCCAGAAGGCAAGAUAUAUCACAUAUGCUCACUCAUGAAGUAAUUUUUUCAUCCAUUGACAAGCCUAAGCUUCUUAGCCAGCUUUCUGCAUUGCUUUCGGAUAUAGGACUUAACAUCCGCGAAGCACAUGUCUUCUCGACCACUGAUGGCUACUCCUUAGAUGUAUUUGUGGUGGAUGGAUGGCCUGUUGAGGAUACAGAUGGUUUAAAUGAAGCUAUUGAAAAAGCAAUUGCUAGAAGUGAGGGAUCAUGGUCAAGAUCUUCACAUUCUCAUUCAUCUGGAGUGAAAGCGAUAGUGGCACAAGAAAAACCUGGAAGCUGGGAAAUAGACAGGAGACUAUUGAAGAUAGGAGAGAGAAUUGCAUCUGGAUCCUGUGGAGAUUUGCACCGUGGAAUUUAUCUUGGUCAAGAUGUUGCUGUUAAGAUUCUACGAUCUGAGCAUUUGAAUGCUGCUCUAGAGGAUGAGUUUGCUCAAGAAGUGGCCAUUUUAAGAGAGGUCCAUCACAGAAAUGUUGUGCGUUUUAUUGGGGCAUGCACAAAGUCCCCACAUUUAUGCAUAGUGACAGAGUACAUGCCUGGUGGAAGUCUCUAUGAUUAUUUGCACAAGAGUCGUAAUGUCUUGAAGCUUUCUGAACUGCUAAAGUUUGCAAUUCAUGUCUGCAAAGGAAUGGAGUAUUUGCAUCGUAAUGAUAUAAUCCAUAGGGAUUUGAAGACAGCAAAUCUGCUAAUGGACACUAACAAUGUUGUAAAGGUGGCGGAUUUUGGUGUUGCUCGGUUCCAAACACAAGGGGGAGUAAUGACUGCAGAGACGGGAACCUAUAGAUGGAUGGCACCUGAGGUUAUCAAUCAUCAACCAUAUGAUCAGAAAGCAGAUGUGUUCAGUUUCGCCAUUGUUCUUUGGGAGCUGGUGACAGCCAAAGUUCCAUAUGAUACAAUGACUCCAUUACAAGCUGCCUUGGGAGUUAGACAGGUUUAUGGUUUAAUCUGAAUAUAUAUUUUUUUAUGUAUGCGAGGGCACAUACACAUGUUUUGACAUAAGCCAUAAUACCAUGGUUGAACUUGAGAACUUUAAGAUGGAUAGAUGUUACAGAAACAUUUACAUGGGUAUCCUUUCCUCUAUUUACCUCUUUUCCCUCUCUUUCUAAUUUUUUGAAAUGAUAGACUUGAUGCACAUCAAGAUUGUUUGCCAAGUGCUUCUAAAUUUUCAUCGUCUUCAUUUCCUCCAGCCAAUAAAUACAAAUAGGGUGACCCACCAUACACCUUCACAAGACCUUGGCAUUCUACCACCCGAACACAUCAUGCACUCUUCUGUCCAGAAAAAAGAGCAAUCAUGGACAGGAACCAACUGAGAAUCCCCUCCCUAUUUAAUUAACUUCAACUCCAGACUUGUACCAUUCGGGAAUGUAGUAAGAUGUGUUAUGUUAGUCCUCCCUUUUAUUCUACACAUAUGCAUCAAUUGGGAGAUUAGGAGUGCCUGGUCUUCUCUUUUGAACCAUGUUCCAUGUCCCAUGUCUCGUGUGUUAGCGUUCCUCUUAUUCAAAACUGAAACAGAUACUGUGAUAACGAUAUAGGAAAGGGCUUUGCAGAAUAUCAGGUUUCUGUUGAUAUCUGUUUAUUUGUUGCUUAUGUGCAUUGGGCAUACAUCAAUGGCUUUGAAAGUCUUGUCAAAGGUGUAGAGAUGAGCUGUGGACUCAUUAAACUAUAUUAUAUGUUUUUAUGCCUAAUACUAUGUUUUCC